CAUACCGCGUGUGUGAAGAAGGCCUUCGGGUUGUAAAGCACUUUAAGCAGGGAGAAAAAGUUAUAGGUUAAUACCCUAUGACCUUGAUGUUACCUGCAGAAUAAGCACCGGCUAAUUCCGUGCCAGCAGCCGCGGUAAU
rnacentral:rRNA from 1 species